AGGCCUAACACAUGCAAGUCGAGCGGAUGAAGGGAGCUUGCUCCCGGAUUCAGCGGCGGACGGGUGAGUAAUGCCUAGGAAUCUGCCUGGUAGUGGGGGAUAACGUCCGGAAACGGGCGCUAAUACCGCAUACGUCCUGAGGGAGAAAGUGGGGGAUCUUCGGACCUCACGCUAUCAGAUGAGCCUAGGUCGGAUUAGCUAGUUGGUGGGGUAAAGGCCUACCAAGGCGACGAUCCGUAACUGGUCUGAGAGGAUGAUCAGUCACACUGGAACUGAGACACGGUCCAGACUCCUACGGGAGGCAGCAGUGGGGAAUAUUGGACAAUGGGCGAAAGCCUGAUCCAGCCAUGCCGCGUGUGUGAAGAAGGUCUUCGGAUUGUAAAGCACUUUAAGUUGGGAGGAAGGGCAGUAAGUUAAUACCUUGCUGUUUUGACGUUACCAACAGAAUAAGCACCGGCUAACUUCGUGCCAGCAGCCGCGGUAAUACGAAGGGUGCAAGCGUUAAUCGGAAUUACUGGGCGUAAAGCGCGCGUAGGUGGUUCAGCAAGUUGGAUGUGGAAUCCCCGGGCUCAACCUGGGAACUGCAUCCAAAACUACUGAGCUAGAGUACGGUAGAGGGUGGUGGAAUUUCCUGUGUAGCGGUGAAAUGCGUAGAUAUAGGAAGGAACACCAGUGGCGAAGG
rnacentral:rRNA from 1 species